rnacentral:rRNA from 1 species
GGGACGAGCCCAGCACCGAAUCCCCCGGCAUGCAGCCGGCGGGAAAUGUGGUGUGCGGGACGCCAACUGCCGUCCGCGCCCGGAGACCGAAGUCCUCCUGAUCGGGGCCUCUCCCACAGCGGGUGUCAGGCCUUUACUGGUCUCUGGCCGGGCGGCUGCGAGCGUCUCAGGAGUCGGGUUGUUUGGGAAUGCAGCCCAAAGCGGGUGGUAAACUCCAUCUAAG